rnacentral:lncRNA from 1 species
AGAAGGGAGGCCUCCUGAUGCGGGACAGCUCAGGUGUGGGAGGGGGACUCUGCAGGACACACCAGACCUGCGCCCAAGGGCACCCCCUGCUCCCCACUGGCCUCACGCCUCCCAGGACAUCUCAUCACUGCUCAGUGUCAGUGGCCCCCACAGGGCACUUGCUGAGGUCAGUGUGUGUGUUCCUCAUGACAAGCUUGGGAGUUGCAGACAGGAGGGAUGGCGUCUGUUCCUCCCGGAGCCUGGCAGACAGGGAGGAGAGGCUGGCAUCAGGGGCCCGGUGCGGGACUGUGAGCUCUUCCCC